AGAUCAUGCAGGACCCUGAAGAUAACAGAAAGGGCUCUUCAUUCUGUUAUUUUCAGUAAGAUGGAAGAGAAUUUGGGGGUUAAAGGUGAGGACUGGCAUGGCCUAAAGUGUGUUUUAAUAGGAUCACUGUGACUUCUGUGCUAAAAGCAGACUGCAAGGGACAGAAGCUGAAGCAGGAGGAGGGAAAAUAGAGAAGAGUAAGAAAAAGUGAUGGAGGAAGGAAGAGGAAAAGAAGCAAGGAUCCAAAAUGCAAAUGUGGGACAUUUUAGAAGAGCAGAACGUUGCAUUUCAGCCUUCCUGUCUGAUAUAACCCAUCUGGUGACUGCAUUCAAAAGAGCCCUACCAAGAAUAUUUUCAUGGAGUUAUUUUUCCACUGUGUAUUUCACACUUCAUCUUUGCAGGAGAAUGGAUGGAUUUACUUGGCACGUAGCAGGGGACAGUCUGUGGAAAGAAGUGAGAAGGAUAAUCCAAUAGCAAAAGUGAGGGGUGAUGAAGAGUGAAAGGAUGCCACCAUGAGGAGACCCCAUGGAUGGA
rnacentral:lncRNA from 1 species